CUCAAGUUACCCACACUUUUGUCUGAAUUGGCUACAACUAAACGGUUCCAAUGAUCCGCUUCUCAAGUUUAAUAAUUUUCUGCAAUGGCUCACGUAAACCAGGAAAACAGUUUAUUUUCUAUUACUGGUUUCUUAUCAAGGAUAUUUUAAAGGAUGCAAAUGAACAGCCAAAUGAGGUACAUAGGGUGAGAUCCAGAAGGCUCUUGAACUUAAGAGAUUUUGUUCCUGGGGAGUUGGUGGUAUACCACUAUCCCAGCUCAUUAAUGCAUCCACCAGCCCAGAACUUCAUCAAAUCUUGUUCAAGAGUUUUUAUAGAGCUUAAUUUCCAGCUCCCCUCCCUCACAGGAGGUCAGCUGUAGGGUUGAAAGUUCCAACACUGUAAUCAUUUGGUCUUUCUGGCAUCAGCCCCAUCCUGAGGCUAUAAAUUAGCAUAAACUCAGAGAUAAUGAAAAGGGAGUUGUUAUGAAUAACAUGGAGGCUUCCCUGGUGGCUUAGACAGUAAAGAAUCUGCCUGCAAUGCAGGAGACCCAGGUUCAGUCUCUGGGUCGAGAAGACCCCUUGGAGAAGAGAAUGGUUAUCCACUCCAGUAUUCUGGCCUGGAGAAUUUCAUGGAUUUCGCAGCCUCUUUGACCUCGUCUAGGCUGAGUAACACAUCCCCAUUUUCCGGGCCCCCCGGGAGGUUGCCAAUGUGAUAUAAGGGUGAGAUGAUGGGGCCUGGAUAAUGGGGAUCUUUUACUCGGCCUAGAUGAGGUCACAGAGGUUGCCUAAGUAAAGUGACACUUAGGACACUUAAACUGAACUGAGGCUUAUUAAACAGUACAUGGGAAUCUGCCAUGCAGUGGGCAGAAUUACACAGGGCUUACCACAAGGCAAGACUCAGUCAUGUCCAAUGUGUAUACUGCUGUAUCUCCAGCACUUAGCACUUGACACACACCAGGUGCUCAAUUAAUACAGUUAAGUGUAUCAAUGAGUAAGAAGUAUCAGAGUUUCCCAACUGGAGGAAAACAACAUAUAUAAACCAAGUAAGAAGAAACAAAUAAUAAAAAUAACAAAUUUGGUUAAACCAAGGACCAUUCCCUUUUCAACAAAUAUUUUUACAACAGUUGUUUUUGGUAAGACACAUUUAGGAUACAGACAGUGCUACACUCCAAUAUGGAUAAUAAGAUAUACGUAUAACAACUAUAACACUUCUCCCCUGCUUACACAGUUUAGUUCCUCUCUCCCUAGGAAAGGCUAAAAUAAGGGUAUAAGGCAAAUCGUUAUUCCCUUGUCUUUAAUGGAAAAGAGGAGUCAGGUGUAAACUACAAAAAUGUGGUUGUAGUUUGAUUGCAAUGUACAAGUAUUUGGGCUGUCAGUUUGCCACAGAAGGUGUACUCAUGAAAGGAGUUUGAGGAGCCAGGCUGGUCAGAUGGUGUGAAG
ensembl:lncRNA